rnacentral:rRNA from 1 species
AUUGAACGCUGGCGGCAGGCCUAACACAUGCAAGUCGAGCGGAUGAAGGGAGCUUGCUCCUGGAUUCAGCGGCGGACGGGUGAGUAAUGCCUAGGAAUCUGCCUGGUAGUGGGGGAUAACGUCCGGAAACGGGCGCUAAUACCGCAUACGUCCUGAGGGAGAAAGUGGGGGGUCUUCGGACCUCACGCUAUCAGAUGAGCCUAGGUCGGAAUAGCUAGGUGGUCGGGUAAAGGCCUACCAAGGCGACGAUUCGUAACUGGUCUGAGAGGAUGCUCAGUCACAGUGGAACUGAGACACGGUCCAGACGCCUGCGGGAGGGAGCAGUGGGGAAUAUUGGACAAUGGGCGGAAGCCUGAUCCAGCGAUGCCGCGUGUGUGAAGAAGGUCUUCGGAUUGUAAAGCACUUUAAGUUGGGAGGAAGGGCAGUAAGUUAAUACCUUGCUGUUUUGACGUUACCAACAGAAUAAGCACCGGCUAACUUCGUG